rnacentral:tRNA from 1 species
GGGGUUGUGGCUCAGUGGUAGAGCACUCACCGAGCACAUGUGAUGCCCUGGGUUUGAUCCUCAGCACCACA